rnacentral:rRNA from 1 species
GACGUAGGGUGCGAGCGUUGUCCGGAUUUAUUGGGCGUAAAGAGCUCGUAGGCGGCUCGUCGCGUCAGCUGUGAAAACCCGCAGCUUAACUGUGGGCUUGCAGCUGAUACGGGCGGGCUAGAGUUCGGUAGGGGAGACUGGAAUUCCUGGUGUAGCGGUGAAAUGCGCAGAUAUCAGGAGGAGCACCGGUGGCGAAGGCAGCUCUCUGGGACGGUACUGACGCUGAGACGCGAAAGCGUGGGGAGCGAACAGG